ACUAUUUUCUUCCAUCGAUUCAGGGUGAAGUAGUGCGGCAAAAAAGCAGCGCAGGACUGCCACUUCCCGUCAUCCUAACGACCACGUGUGCUUCGGUCCUUUGGCUUCUGUACGGAAUCAUUCUCAACAACUACUUCAUUAUCAUUCAAAAAGUGGUCGCGCUCGGAUUGUGCUUUCUGCAACUGUCGCUGUUUGUCAUCUACCCGGCAAAAACCAAGCGGGAAUAGUCACGUCGCAAUGGCAAAACAAUUUUCCGAUAUCGAAGUUUUUGGUUUUUUUUUAUUGGUCCUGGCUGACGGUUUCGGUCGAUUUGAUGGAUGAUGACUAGUUGGUUAUUGGCUGCCAUUCAUUUGGGUAGAUCUGAAAUAAAUUUUACAUAUCUGGAAUUCAGUGGUGUUUCAUAGUUCAAAUUGAUAUUCCUUUCAAACCGAAAAUGAUAGAAUAUUUGGUUAAUGUUUUCCAGAUUAUUUCUGUUCUUUAUGAAAUGUUUCUUUAAACCGUGUAGCAAAAAAAAAUCAUAUUGGAUUUGUCUGGAAGAGGAAGAUGCGAAAGUUAGACAGUACUUGGGUACAUAUAUGGCGACCGUUAAAAAUCACACGAAUAAUGUGUUCAACAUAAUAAAGUUCUACGGCACAACUA